GACAGAGCGCGCGGGUGUUAUUCGUUUUGAUUGGGUGUAAAGGGUACGUAGGUGGUUCUUGGUGUUCUGGUGAAAAUAGCGGAGAGUUCCUACGCGAUAUGCCUUUGAAGAAGAGAACUAGUGUUAGAGAGAGGUUGGGGCAAAUCUUUAUGUAAGGGUAAAAUCUUAGAAGAUAAGGAUGAACGUCAGUUGGCGGAGGCGCCCGUCCCGCUCUAACAGACGCUGAGGUACGGAAGCCUAGGUAGCAAACGGG
rnacentral:rRNA from 1 species